GACGAACGCUGGCGGCGUGCUUAACACAUGCAAGUCGAACGGAAAGGCCCUGCUUUUGUGGGGUGCUCGAGUGGCGAACGGGUGAGUAACACGUGAGUAACCUGCCCUUGACUUUGGGAUAACUUCAGGAAACUGGGGCUAAUACCGGAUAGGAGCUCCUGCUGCAUGGUGGGGGUUGGAAAGUUUCGGCGGUUGGGGAUGGACUCGCGGCUUAUCAGCUUGUUGGUGGGGUAGUGGCUUACCAAGGCUUUGACGGGUAGCCGGCCUGAGAGGGUGACCGGCCACAUUGGGACUGAGAUACGGCCCAGACUCCUACGGGAGGCAGCAGUGGGGAAUAUUGCACAAUGGGCGGAAGCCUGAUGCAGCAACGCCGCGUGCGGGAUGACGGCCUUCGGGUUGUAAACCGCUUUCGCCCGUGACGAAGCGUGAGUGACGGUAAUGGGUAAAGAAGCACCGGCUAACUACGUGCCAGCAGCCGCGGUGAUACGUAGGGUGCGAGCGUUGUCCGGAUUUAUUGGGCGUAAAGGGCUCGUAGGUGGUUGAUCGCGUCGGAAGUGUAAUCUUGGGGCUUAACCCUGAGCGUGCUUUCGAUACGGGUUGACUUGAGGAAGGUAGGGGAGAAUGGAAUUCCUGGUGGAGCGGUGGAAUGCGCAGAUAUCAGGAGGAACACCAGUGGCGAAGGCGGUUCUCUGGGCCUUUCCUGACGCUGAGGAGCGAAAGCGUGGGGAGCGAACAGGCUUAGAUACCCUGGUAGUCCACGCUGUAAACGGUGGGUACUAAGUGUGGGGUCCAUUCCACGGGUUCCGUGCCGUAGCUAACGCUUUAAGUACCCCGCCUGGGGAGUACGGCCGCAAGGCUAAAACUCAAAGGAAUUGACGGGGCCCCGCACAAGCGGCGGAGCAUGCGGAUUAAUUCGAUGCAACGCGUAGAACCUUACCUGGGUUUGACAUGGAUCGGGAGUGCUCAGAGAUGGGUGUGCCUCUUUUGGGGUCGGUUCACAGGUGGUGCAUGCCUGUCGUCAGCUCGUGUCGUGAGAUGUUGGGUUAAGUCCCGCAACGAGCGCAACCCUUGUUCACUGUUGCCAGCACGUUAUGGUGGGGACUCAGUGGAGACCGCCGGGGUCAACUCGGAGGAAGGUGGGGAUGACGUCAAGUCAUCAUGCCCCUUAUGUCCAGGGCUUCACGCAUGCUACAAUGGCUGGUACAGAGAGUGGCGAGCCUGUGAGGGUGAGCGAAUCUCGGAAAGCCGGUCUCAGUUCGGAUUGGGGUCUGCAACUCGACCUCAUGAAGUCGGAGUCGCUAGUAAUCGCAGAUCAGCAACGCUGCGGUGAAUACGUUCCCGGGGCU
rnacentral:rRNA from 1 species